AUUGUGUGGACUGACUCUGGCCGGCCAGCCUAAAUGGCACUUUACACUGCAUACAUUCACAGCAGUAAAUGCCAUUCAGGUUGACUGGAAAGUGUCUUCAAAC